UGGUUCUGGCAUCGAUGAAGAACGCAGCGAAAUGCGAUAAGUAAUGCGAAUUGCAGAAUUUCCGUGAGUCAUCGAAUCUUUGAACGCACAUUGCGCCCAUUGGUAUUCCGAUGGGCAUGCCUGUCCGAGCGUCAUUAUCCUCCCUCAAACCCCGGGUUUGGUGUUGGGCCUACGUCGCGUCCGCGCGACCGGUCUGAAAGACAAUGACGGCGUCCGGGGGACCCUCUACGCACUGAGCUUUUCGGGGCACGCGUCGAGUUUCAAGGUUCCACGGGCCGGUCUCCUUUUACUUUUCUCAAGGUUGACCUCGGAUCAGGUAGGAAUACCCGCUGA
rnacentral:misc_RNA from 1 species